rnacentral:lncRNA from 1 species
UACUCAAAAUCAUCAUAACCAUGUAUAAUUAUCCAACUUUACAAAAGACGGAGAACAAAAAUACAUAUAUGCAAAAAAUAGAGAAACAACAUGUUGAGCACCACCCUUUACUUUACAUCUUACACCAAAUAUAUUAUUUACAGCUUACACCAAGUAUCCUUCAAUAUAUACACGAAAAUACAUAUAAUAACAUUUACCUUGUAGAUCUGUCAAGCUCUACCAUGUCUUCGGUACAUAAACCUUUGAAAAGAAAGGCUAUCCAUCGGCAACAUCCACGGCCAACAAAUAUUGUUUGUAACAAAAAUCUGUUAUUUAUAAGAGAAAACAAAAUGGUAGUAGUAUUGCAAGAACGAAACAAUUGACACGUGAUUACUUGAAUACGAUUUAAGAAUUAUAAAAUACACAUAACCCUGUUAACUUUUCUCCACCCUCGACUUGUUGUUGAAUGAACACGUUUCCAUUCAAUAGCAAUAUCAU